rnacentral:rRNA from 1 species
CAGGAUGAACGCUGGCGGCGUGCCUAAUACAUGCAAGUCGAACGCACAGCGAAAGGUGCUUGCACCUUUCAAGUGAGUGGCGAACGGGUGAGUAACACGUGGACAACCUGCCUCAAGGCUGGGGAUAACAUUUGGAAACAGAUGCUAAUACCGAAUAAAACUUAGUGUCGCAUGACACAAAGUUAAAAGGCGCUUCGGCGUCACCUAGAGAUGGAUCCGCGGUGCAUUAGUUAGUUGGUGGGGUAAAGGCCUACCAAGACAAUGAUGCAUAGCCGAGUUGAGAGACUGAUCGGCCACAUUGGGACUGAGACACGGCCCAAACUCCUACGGGAGGCUGCAGUAGGGAAUCUUCCACAAUGGGCGAAAGCCUGAUGGAGCAACGCCGCGUGUGUGAUGAAGGCUUUCGGGUCGUAAAGCACUGUUGUAUGGGAAGAACAGCUAGAAUAGGAAAUGAUUUUAGUUUGACGGUACCAUACCAGAAAGGGACGGCUAAAUACGUGCCAGCAGCCGCGGUAAUACGUAUGUCCCGAGCGUUAUCCGGAUUUAUUGGGCGUAAAGCGAGCGCAGACGGUUUAUUAAGUCUGAUGUGAAAGCCCGGAGCUCAACUCCGGAAUGGCAUUGGAAACUGGUUAACUUGAGUGCAGUAGAGGUAAGUGGAACUCCAUGUGUAGCGGUGGAAUGCGUAGAUAUAUGGAAGAACACCAGUGGCGAAGGCGGCUUACUGGACUGCAACUGACGUUGAGGCUCGAAAGUGUGGGUAGCAAACAGGAUUAG